GCCGUGACUAAUAAUCAUGGUUCAUGACGGUAUCAACAGAAGAAGCACCGGCUAACUACGUGCCAGCAGCCGCGGUAAUACGUAGGGUGCAAGCGUUAAUCGGAAUUACUGGGCGUAAAGGGUGCGCAGGCGGUUCUGUAAGUCAGAUGUGAAAUCCCCGGGGCUUAACCUGGGAACUGCGUUUGAAACUGCAGAGCUAGAGUGCGGCAGAGGGAGGUGGAAUUCCAUGUGUAGCAGUGAAAUGCGUAGAGAUAUGGAAGAACAUCGAUGGCGAAGGCAACCUCCUGGGCUAGCACUGACGCUCAUGCACGAAAGCGUGGGGAGCAAACAGGAUUAGAUACCCUGGUAGUCCACGCCCUAAACUAUGUCAACUAGUUGUCGGGCCUUAAUAGGCUUGGUAACGUAGCUAACGCGUGAAGUUGACCGCCUGGGGAGUACGGUCGCAAGAUUAAAACUCAAAGGAAUUGACGGGGA
rnacentral:rRNA from 1 species